AACGGUCUAUACCUGCGGUACCUGCGGAAGGAUCAUUAGUGAACGCCCUCGCGGGCUUAUAACUAUUCCAAACCUCUGUGAACCGUGCCCUUCGGGGCUAUUUUACAAACAUGGUGUAAUGAACGUCAUAUAUCAUAACAAAACAAAACUUUUAGCAACGGAUCUCU
rnacentral:misc_RNA from 1 species